rnacentral:misc_RNA from 1 species
GCCUGUAUAGUCAAUAGUAACUUGGUUGAUCAUAGGAGAGCAAAAGAAAGGAGCAGAGGAAUUGUUGGGAUUAGGAAAUGGACAUGUGAAAGAGAACAAAAUUUAACUGAUUGGAGAAUCUAAAGAGAAAUUAAACAAGGUUACAGGAAUCAACAGUUGACAAGAAUUACUUGAACCACAUACAAACAACACCAACAGCACAGCAAUCAAACCAAAGUAAGAGAUCCACCCAACUUUCAACCUUUUCUCUCUGAAGAAUUCUUAAAAAUCUGCAGAGGGAAACUGUUCAUGCGUACUUGGGCUGAUGAAGAAGACCUCAUAAACAACGGCAGCAAUGCCAGCGCCGAGUAAUGGACCUAACCAGUAGACCCAGUGGUUAUCCCAUGUCCAGCUGACCACUGCUGGCCCAAAUGAGA